GGACUACAGGGGUAUCUAAUCCUGUUUGCUCCCCACGCUUUCGCGCCUCAGUGUCAAUGUCGGUCCAGUGAGCCGCCUUCGCCACCGGUGUUCUUCCCAAUCUCUACGAAUUUCACCUCUACACUGGGAAUUCCACUCACCUCUACCGAAUUCAAGCUUAGCAGUCUUGAAUGCAGUUCCAGGGUUGAGCCCUGGGAUUUCACAUCCAACUUGCCAAGCCACCUACGCGCCCUUUACGCCCAGUAAUUCCGAACAACGCUAGCUCCCUUCGUAUUACCGCGGCUGCUGGCAC
rnacentral:rRNA from 1 species